CGCCACGGCUUCUCUGUAAAAUGGUGUGCCUGUCAGUUGUCAGGCUGCCUCUUAGAACACUUUUACCAAAGUAGCCGAUUAUCAUCUGUGCUGGAAAGAUGUGCUAGAUGAAAAACCAAGGCAACUCCACUUUCAUCAUGGGGACACUAGAGGGAAGGUAGCUGGCGGCUUAACGAAAGCAAUUGUUCUUAAGGGUAAUUCCAAAUUGUCCAUGGCAAAAUGUUCCUUUCAGCUGAGUGUCCCAGUGGGCAGAUUGGCCUGCAGAAAGUUGCUGGGCCUUUCAGAACUUCAGCUAGGUUCAGCAUGACUAGGGUUUGAGCUCUUCCCCACUGAGAAUAGAACAAGACUAGAGUGCGCCUGUCAUCUGUUUCUACGGUUCUUCUUCUCUCCUACGCUCUGCUUCAGCUCCAAUUCUGUUGUGGCCCACACCUCCUUCCUUCUGUCUCUUUCUCUUUCCUUCUCUCAGUAUUAGCUGACUGACCAAGAAACAGGUCUGGUUCGAUCGAUUAUUUUUACUAUAUUUUAAUCUCACUGUUGUUGUUGUUGUUGUGUAUGUGUGCGUGUGCGAGCACUUUGAGAACAGGAGAAUAUGUUUUGGGAGUUUGCUUUUCCUUUAGGCUGCUUAGGUCUCAGGGAUUAAAUUGAGAUCAUCAGUAUUGACAAUGGCUGCUUUCGCAUGUUCCCUUUGACUUGCGGAGGCACCUCACUGCUCCAACAGGCCUGCUAAAGUUUUAGCCCAGCAUCAGAGCCUACAAGUCACUAAUCUGGAUUAAACUAAACUCUCUUUCUGGAUGUAGAGGAUCACUCCUUUAAUCUCAGUUCUUGGGAGACAGAGGCACAAACUCUCCAUGAGUUGGAGGUUUUCCUGAUCUACACAGUAGAAAGUUUGAGGCCAGCCAGGCUACAUAGUGAUGCUUCCCUUAAAUAAAUAAAUGAAUAAAAAAAU
rnacentral:lncRNA from 1 species